CACAAGGCUUCAUCCUGCCCUUUUUCUUCAACCCACAGCCCCACUGAUUUUAAGGGCUCUCAAACAGUGCAUCCAAGAUUUUGUCUGCUGUGGGGGAGGAGUAACUGAAUAGCUUAAGAGGUCUCUGUGUGGCAUCUAUGAGAGGGAGGGGGGAAACGGAUGAUGACUCAUACUGAGGGGUGACUAACUGGGACCCCAAUUUUCUGCAAGUUUUAUAUUUUUUUGGAAACCAUUUCUUAAGCACAAUGGGCAGUUUAAUUUAUCAAAUAACCUCAUCUUCUGUUGCUGAAUAAUUCUACUAUCAAUGUAAAAGGUCCUCAGUAAACUUCACGCUAAGUCAGCGCACGAAAAAACAACAGUCUUCUGCAAACAAAACCAUGUUUUUCCAAAACAAUUGCAAUUUCAGAUAAGCUUUUACUUUAUGAUGGUUUCCAAUAAGAAAAUGGCAACAUCAAAGUCAUUUUGGAGCCAUGUGACAAUAAAGCUACAUGUCACAGCCUUAAAUAAUGAUAAAUUAAUUCUGGCUUUUUUCUUGAUAUCCUUUGUCCCUUAUCUUGGCCUUCAGCAAAGUGCUUCUCAUCAUCAUAUUCACCAUGCACACAUAUACAUGAAACUAUAAUGACAAAUGAUGAUAUGAAUAUCCAUUGCUCCAACAAAUAUAAUCUUGAUACCAAUAACAAUAAUGAAAAUAAG
rnacentral:lncRNA from 1 species